UGCGAACGGGUGAGUAACGCGUAGGUAACCUGCCUGGUAGCGGGGGAUAACUAUUGGAAACGAUAGCUAAUACCGCAUAAGAGCAGUUGUUGCAUGACAGCUGUUUAAAAGGUGCGAUUGCACCACUACCAGAUGGACCUGCGUUGUAUUAGCUAGUUGGUGAGGUAACGGCUCACCAAGGCGACGAUACAUAGCCGACCUGAGAGGGUGAUCGGCCACACUGGGACUGAGACACGGCCCAGACUCCUACGGGAGGCAGCAGUAGGGAAUCUUCGGCAAUGGGGGCAACCCUGACCGAGCAACGCCGCGUGAGUGAAGAAGGUUUUCGGAUCGUAAAGCUCUGUUGUAAGAGAAGAACGAGUGUGAGAGUGGAAAGUUCACGCUGUGACGGUAUCUUACCAGAAAGGGACGGCUAACUACGUGCCAGCAGCCGCGGUAAUACGUAGGUCCCGAGCGUUAUCCGGAUUUAUUGGGCGUAAAGCGAGCGCAGGCGGUUAGAUAAGUCUGAAGUUAAAGGCUGUGGCUUAACCAUAGUACGCUUUGGAAACUGUUUAACUUGAGUGCAAGAGGGGAGAGUGGAAUUCCAUGUGUAGCGGUGAAAUGCGUAGAUAUAUGGAGGAACACCGGUGGCGAAAGCGGCUCUC
rnacentral:rRNA from 1 species